CAGCGAGAAAGCAGCUUUUACUCGUUGUGUGUCAUCAUUUAAGAGCAGAUUAUUCGCCAGAUGUAAUUUAUCCUCAGUAAAUACAUAAAUCAGUUAUGUGAGGUGUCUUAUUUUAAUGUUGCAAAUGUGAAGUUCUUGUGAUCUUGCUUGUUCUUAUUUUGUUUCCUUUGUGAGCUUGAGUGAUGCAGGUUGCCUCGACGCAAAUUCUAAAAAGUGUUUCUUCGUCACUGAGAUUCACGAAAGUUGAUUUACACAUAACUUUCCCAGUUACUAAUAUCGCAGGCUUCGAGUUCAAUUUUCUUAUGUUUGAUGUUAUGUUUAUCAACAAGUCGUUUUGUCGUACAUUGAAACAUAUCCACUCAGUGCACAGUGGGCAUCCAAAUUAUGAAUAUCAGUU
rnacentral:lncRNA from 1 species